CUGGCACCUUUAAAACACUGGACAUGUGCAUCUGAUGGCUAGCCUGAUCCUGAGCCUGAUCCUGAUCCCGAGCCUGAUCCCGAGUCUGAUCCUGAUCCUGCUGGCAGGUCUGUCAUCAGAUCAGUGUAGCCUACGUCGGACUAGUUAGAUUACGUGUGAAGAAGCAGGGAGAAAUUAACCCUUUCGGACCAGACAAGACCCCUGGGAGUCCCUGAGCAGAAACAUCACAAUGUGACAGCAGACAUGUACAAAUGAGAUACAUCGAGGAGUUUAUGUAGUUUAUUUAGUCUCUGACUCGACACGAAAACUGGCACAUAAGUAGAAAUAACAGGAGAGUCAGGCUGGCUGAGGUGUCCAGAUCUGUACUAGGAUCAGUAGACAAUUAAUAACAGGAAAGGAAGGAUGUCUACCCAUCAACCAGUCUGACUGACAGACUAACAUCCAUCAACCUUAAAAAAAAAUUAAAAGUUAAAAAAAUUAACAUUGUGCAAGAAUAAUAUUGAGAGAGUCAUUUUUUUCCAAAUAACUGAUUUCAGGGAGGGCUAAAAUGUCCAGUUUAGUUUCAGUCUGAGCCGACAGUCCAGUCCAUUUCAGUCUGAGCCGACAGUCCAGUCCAUUUCAGUCUGAGCCGACAGUCCAGUCCAUUUCAGUCUGAGCCGACAGUCCAGUCCAUUUCAGUCUGAGCCGACUGUCCAGUCCAUUUCAGUCUGUGUUAAUCCAUUUCAGUCUGAGCCGACUGUCCAGUCCAUUUCAGUCUGUUAAUCCAUUUCAGUCUGAGCCGACAGUCCAGUCCAUUUCAGUCUGUGUUAAUCCAUUUCAGUCCGAGCCGACAGUCCAGUCCAUUUCAGUCCGAGCCGAUAGUCCAGUCCAUUUCAGUCUGAGCCGACAGUCCAGUCCAUUUCAGUCUGAGCCGACAGUCCAGUCCAUUUCAGUCUGAGCCGAUAGUCUAGUCCAUUUCAGUCUGAGCCGAUAGUCCAUUUCAGUCUGUUCCAGUCCAUUUCAGUCUGUGUUAAUCCAUUUCAGUCCGAGCCAGCUGUCCAGUCCAUUUCAGUCUAAGCCGACAGUCCAGUCCAUUUCAGUCUGAGACGACAGUCCAAUCCAUUUCAGUCUGAGACAUGUUCCUUUGCGUUCCAAGGCUCUGAACCUUUAAGCAGGCAGAGUUCAUGGUCCCAUGAUAUCCACUGAAUGGAAUCCAAGCCUGCAGUAAGAACAGAACAGGUUAUCCCACCGAGCGCAGUGUCGCUUUCUUCCUCUCUGUGUAAAUCAGCCUUGUCCCAGUCAGAAUGAUCCAGUCACGUGCUCUACAUUGACGUCCCUGAAUCAGACUUCAGUCUCUGAAGGGAGAAUCAUCGAGGUCAGCACUCCAAGCAGUCCAGACGGACUCUGCUCCCCAUCGGCUGGGCACUUCUCUCAACUCCAACAAAACACAAGUCCAAAAGCAUCGCGUGGUCCUUGAUAAUCUUUCUAUAAUAUUUGCAACAAACAAGCAUCUUAAAAACUAAAUAUGAGAAUAUAUUUAUAUGACAUAAACCUUUAUAGAAGUUAUUUAAAACAUUUUUAAAUAAUGUAUCAGAGAG
ensembl:lncRNA